UUCGCCCUUAGAGUUUGAUCCUGGCUCAGGACGAACGCUGGCGGCGCGCCUAACACAUGCAAGUCGAACGGAGCUUAGAGAGCUUGCUUUUUAAGCUUAGUGGCGAACGGGUGAGUAACGCGUGAGUAACCUGCCCUAGAGUGGGGGACAACAGUUGGAAACGACUGCUAAUACCGCAUAAGCCCACGGUACCGCAUGGUACUGAGGGAAAAGGAUUUAUUCGCUUUAGGAUGGACUCGCGUCCAAUUAGCUAGUUGGUGAGGUAACGGCCCACCAAGGCGACGAUUGGUAGCCGGACUGAGAGGUUGAACGGCCACAUUGGGACUGAGACACGGCCCAGACUCCUACGGGAGGCAGCAGUGGGGGAUAUUGCACAAUGGGGGAAACCCUGAUGCAGCGACGCCGCGUGGAGGAAGAAGGUUUUCGGAUUGUAAACUCCUGUCGUUAGGGACGAUAAUGACGGUACCUAACAAGAAAGCACCGGCUAACUACGUGCCAGCAGCCGCGGUAAAACGUAGGGUGCAAGCGUUGUCCGGAAUUACUGGGUGUAAAGGGAGCGCAGGCGGGAAGACAAGUUGGAAGUGAAAACCAUGGGCUCAACCCAUGAAUUGCUUUCAAAACUGUUUUUCUUGAGUAGUGCAGAGGUAGAUGGAAUUCCCGGUGUAGCGGUGGAAUGCGUAGAUAUCGGGAGGAACACCAGUGGCGAAGGCGGUCUACUGGGCACCAACUGACGCUGAGGCUCGAAAGCAUGGGUAGCAAACAGGAUUAGAUACCCUGGUAGUCCAUGCCGUAAACGAUGAUUACUAGGUGUUGGGGGAUUGACCCCCUCAGUGCCGCAGUUAACACAAUAAGUAAUCCACCUGGGGGAGUACGACCGCAAGGUUGAAACUCAAAGGAAUUGACGGGGGCCCGCACAAGCAGUGGAGUAUGUGGUUUAAUUCGAAGCAACGCGAAGAACCUUACCAGGUCUUGACAUCCGAUGCAUAGCACAGAGAUGUGUGAAAUCCUUCGGGACAUCGAGACAGGUGGUGCAUGGUUGUCGUCAGCUCGUGUCGUGAGAUGUUGGGUUAAGUCCCGCAACGAGCGCAACCCUUAUUGCCAGUUACUACGUUAAGAGGACUCUGGCGAGACUGCCGUUGACAAAACGGAGGAAGGUGGGGAUGACGUCAAAUCAUCAUGCCCUUUAUGACCUGGGCUACACACGUACUACAAUGGCGUUAAACAAAGAGAAGCAAGACCGCGAGGUGGAGCAAAACUCAAAAACAACGUCUCAGUUCAGAUUGCAGGCUGCAACUCGCCUGCAUGAAGUCGGAAUUGCUAGUAAUCGCGGAUCAGCAUGCCGCGGUGAAUAAAUUCCCGGGCCUUGCACACACCGCCCGUCA
rnacentral:rRNA from 1 species